AGUCGAGCGAAUGGAUUGAGAGCUUGCUCUCAAGAAGUUAGCGGCGGACGGGUGAGUAACACGUGGGUAACCUGCCCAUAAGACUGGGAUAACUCCGGGAAACCGGGGCUAAUACCGGAUAAUAUUUUGAACUGCAUGGUUCGAAAUUGAAAGGCGGCUUCGGCUGUCACUUAUGGAUGGACCCGCGUCGCAUUAGCUAGUUGGUGAGGUAACGGCUCACCAAGGCAACGAUGCGUAGCCGACCUGAGAGGGUGAUCGGCCACACUGGGACUGAGACACGGCCCAGACUCCUACGGGAGGCAGCAGUAGGGAAUCUUCCGCAAUGGACGAAAGUCUGACGGAGCAACGCCGCGUGAGUGAUGAAGGCUUUCGGGUCGUAAAACUCUGUUGUUAGGGAAGAACAAGUGCUAGUUGAAUAAGCUGGCACCUUGACGGUACCUAACCAGAAAGCCACGGCUAACUACGUGCCAGCAGCCGCGGUAAUACGUAGGUGGCAAGCGUUAUCCGGAAUUAUUGGGCGUAAAGCGCGCGCAGGUGGUUUCUUAAGUCUGAUGUGAAAGCCCACGGCUCAACCGUGGAGGGUCAUUGGAAACUGGGAGACUUG
rnacentral:rRNA from 1 species